CUACUGUUCCAAAUGCUUCGAGUCACUUCUCCUCUACUACUCGCAGGUCUUCGGAACGCAGACGCCCCGAAUCUGACUCAGAAGCAUCGCGGGAAACGGCAAGGCAAAGACGGCGGAUGUAUCUUCAUGUUGCCUGGAAGAAGGAAGGCUGCUUCUGUCUGGACAGAGUGAACACGGUUCGCCUUCUUCGAUGCCUUGGUGGCGCCUUCUGGAUGUGCACACCGACAGAGGGAAGAAGGCUGAGAUUGACCAGAAGCCCGCAAGGCAGAAAUUAUGGAUCUCCCCGUGAAAUAUGAACGACUGACAACACAUCCGCUGUGUGUGUUUGUCCGCUUCCUCUCCAGCAAAAAAACGGCUAGCGCUCCGUUUCGCUUCCCCCAGCCACGCGCCACACGGACGAGAGAGAUGGCCGCAGAACUUGCAAUUGCACAUGAAAACGGACACGCCAGGAGACAGCGGAUCUUCUAUUUUUAGGACAUCUGCACAGAGGCGCAAAUGGAAGCGGAAAGGGGAAACUGCAAAGCACGCAAUCGGCUUUUUAUCUGAUUAGGGCGUGUGGUCGCGGCCUGGAGACACCGGCCAUGUGCAACAACGUCGGAAAAUCCGGCACACAGAGGAGCAUGAAAACGAGGUGUUAGUUCUGUAGUGACGAUUCAGAAAUGACAGAAAGUGUACUAAGUCUGUGGGAUAAAAGCGACCUGGGAGGAACGAGUUCUCAAGGCACUUCGACCCCCGCGCUUCCUUUUGAAAGUCUUGGGGGUUCGGCUCCGAGAAGCCGUCUCGCUCUUUAGCGCAUGCGGGUCUGGCUGUUUCCAAGCAGCUGCUCGGGGGAAGAGGGCCUAAGUGUUGCACAAGAAUUUCUGCAGGGAAUAAGUUUUCGAAAGGAUUAUUGGUGAGGUCUUCUCCGCAGUGUGUCGUUUGGUCUGAGGAAAUGUAGGUCUGAGAGGCUCAAAGAUGGGACGCGGGCAGCGGAUCGUCUGUUGUCUUCACGGCUGCCAACCAGCCGGACUGUUGAAGAGUGAAGGGCAUCAUAGGUUAGGAGGGGCUACACACAACCUGGAAUCAUGUUUCUCGCGGCCAUACCUUUGGACAUCAAAGAAGGCAGGAUGUUCAACGAUUUCUUCUGCAAUUUCAAUGCGUUCGGGGUAGCCAGCACACAAAAAUCCGCUCACAAAAAUGCAUGUAGACUUGUGUAUACGGUUUUUUCCGUUACAGGUGGAACCGCGAGGAACCGGUACGCGGACGAACCCGCAGGGCACACUGAGAGAAAGGCACGAAAAGAAGCAGAAAGACAACAGGUGACACACGUCGUUGCUUCAGCGAACAAAAGCAAAGAGCAACGUGACACGUUUUCACGAAGUUACGUAGCAUCCAUUUCAUGGGGGAACGGUUGAACGGGCCGCGCCACUUCCACGAGCAUGUUUACGGAUCACCCCGAUGGAUAGUGGCCGUCUUUUAAAACGUACGCUACUCGGAACGAAGCUUCUUCACCGUGAUAACUGCCACGAAUGAACCUGCGAACGUGGUCUUGUGACGGUGUCGAUGAAUGGUCCUGCUUCCACGGGCAGGUUCAUGCUUUCAAUUCAUCAGCUAUGAAUCGGUUUCGCCAAUAUGAAUCGAUUCGUGCUGCCGCCAACACGGCGAUUUCGCCUUCCGGUUAAGUCGCCCGACAAGUCGC
rnacentral:lncRNA from 1 species